UUUGAUGGCGACCGGCGCACGGGUGAGUAACACGUAUCCAACCUGCCGAUGACUCGGGGAUAGCCUUUCGAAAGAAAGAUUAAUACCCGAUGGCAUAGUUCUUUCGCAUGGUAGAACUAUUAAAGAAUUUCGGUCAUCGAUGGGGAUGCGUUCCAUUAGCUUGUUGGCGGGGUAACGGCCCACCAAGGCAUCGAUGGAUAGGGGUUCUGAGAGGAAGGUCCCCCACAUUGGAACUGAGACACGGUCCAAACCCCUACGGGAGGCAGCAG
rnacentral:rRNA from 1 species